rnacentral:lncRNA from 10 species
GAGACCAAUUUGGCCUGGGGAGAACCGCCUUCAGGCGUUUGGACUCAGUGGAGGUUGUGAGUGCCCAGCAGUGUGGCCUGAAUCUCCGUGGGGUUUAGGGAGACGAAAGGACCCCAGAUCGACGUCCCCUCGUUCCCACUUUGGGGAUCGGCGCUCUGGCUGUUUCGUGAAGGAGAGAGAGGUUGAUUCCAUACCCUGGCUAUUGUGAAUAAUGCUGCAGUGAACAUGGGAGUACAUACAUCUGUUUGAGAUUGAUACUGGAAAAGCAGUUUCUAUUGAGCCCCCAAAUGAAGAGUGAGUGCAGAUGAAGAGGAGGCAGGACUCACAAGCCCUUGAACUUUAUUCCAGAUCUGUUAGCACCUACAGGACCCUGCACCAGGAUUUCAUCUGUACUAUCAGCUUCUUCAAAGAGAGAGAGGUUGUUGAGCUCAGAAGUGACAAAAGAGAAUUAUCAGGAUGGCAGUCCUUAUAACCAGAUGCUUAUCAACAUUCUUCACUACAUUCUGAAGAUGAAUUUCUACAAGGGAAAUUGUUUAUAUUUGUUGUUGGGGAUAGAUAAGG